rnacentral:rRNA from 1 species
GAUGAACGCUGGCGGCGUGCCUAAUACAUGCAAGUCGAGCGAACAGACGAGGAGCUUGCUCCUCUGACGUUAGCGGCGGACGGGUGAGUAACACGUGGAUAACCUACCUAUAAGACUGGGAUAACUUCGGGAAACCGGAGCUAAUACCGGAUAAUAUAUUGAACCGCAUGGUUCAAUAGUGAAAGACGGUUUUGCUGUCACUUAUAGAUGGAUCCGCGCCGCAUUAGCUAGUUGGUAAGGUAACGGCUUACCAAGGCGACGAUGCGUAGCCGACCUGAGAGGGUGAUCGGCCACACUGGAACUGAGACACGGUCCAGACUCCUACGGGAGGCAGCAGUAGGGAAUGUUCCGCAAUGGGCGAAAGCCUGACGGAGCAACGCCGCGUGAGUGAUGAAGGUCUUCGGAUCGUAAAACUCUGUUAUUAGGGAAGAACAAAUGUGUAAGUAACUAUGCACGUCUUGACGGUACCUAAUCAGAAAGCCACGGCUAACUACGUG